rnacentral:rRNA from 1 species
UAGCGUAGGGUCCGAGCGUUGUCCGGAAUUAUUGGGCGUAAAGGGCUCGUAGGCGGUUCGUCACGUCGGGAGUGAAAACUCGGAGCUUAACUCCGAGCCUGCUUCCGAUACGGGCAGACUAGAGGUAGGCAGGGGAGAGCGGAACUCCUGGUGUAGCGGUGGAAUGCGCAGAUAUCAGGAAGAACACCGGUGGCGAAGGCGGCUCUCUGGGCCGAUACUGACGCUGAGGAGCGAAAGCGUGGGGAGCGAACAGG